GUGAAAUUGUUGAAAGGGAAACGAUUGAAGUCAGUCAUACCAACGGGAAAUCAACCUUUUGAGCGUGAUUUUUGGAGGUUCGAAGAGGUUCAAACCCUUUGAGGUUUUCAUACAUUUUUGCUCUUUUGGUGUACUUUCUCGUUAGGUAGGUCAACAUCGAUUUUGAACAUUAUAAAAAGACCGGAGGAAUGUAGUUCCAUUCGAUCUUGUAUUGGGUGAGAGCCUUAUAGACUUUGGUAAAUGUAAUGAUCAAGAUCGAGGAUUGCAACGAAUACCCUUUUUGGGCUAUCCAUCUGAUCUCUGACACGUUGACUUGGUAUCGAAAGCUUUCUGGGUAAGUAUGUGGCUUCGGUAUUAAGGUUUAUGGGUCAAAAGGUUGGAAUGUGAUUACAUUCGUUAAGGAUGUUGACGUAAUGGCUUUAAACGAC
rnacentral:rRNA from 1 species